UAAUUAUUAGGAGAAAAAGAUUGACUGUCAAUAUUCAGAUUAAGUGUUAUUGGAGGUUUUGGAAGAUGUGUUUGUAGGUGUGUGCCUACACAGGUUUCUGUAUAAGAUGCAUUUGAUGAUAAAGGGAAAGUAUAUUGUUAUGUUUAUAGUUUUAGUACUUCAUUAUUUUUAAACCAUUUUAUAGGUCAGGGUCCUAAAUAUGUAAAAAUUUUUAUCAACCUACCCCGAUCUAUGGACUUUGAGGAGGCAGAAAGGAGUGAGCCAACCCAAGCUCUGGAACUGACAGAAGAUGACAUUAAAGAAGAUGGCAUUGUUCCUCUUCGUUAUGUUAAAUUUCAGAAUGUGAACAGUGUAACUUUGUUUGUUCAGUCUAAUCAAGGAGAAGAAGAAACAACAAGAAUUUCCUAUUUUACUUUCAUUGGUACUCCCGUCCAGGCAACAAAUAUGAAUGACUUCAAACGAGUAGUUGGCAAAAAGGGGGAAAGCCAUUAGGGUACAAAAGACACUGGAAGACUACUGCAGUCAGAUUUGCAGCUCCUGGAUAAUUGCUUGAUUCUCUUCGGAAACUGUUAAUCUUUUAUUUGUUGCCAGUACCAAUAAAUCAUUGCUUUUGUUCAGAUGGUAAUACUAGUGUUUCUAUUGUAAUCUUGAUACAUGCAGUUGUAAAUAAAAGUCAUUACUUUGCCAAGCUUAAAUUUUUGUCAUUCUGUAUAAAUGCAUUCUCUCUCUUUUUAUUUGAACAUAGGCUAAGCUUUUGUUUUAGAAGAGUUGUUGACUAAAAGCUAGUCUGUCUCUAAAGGAGCGGAAUGUUGCAGGACUUGGGAGCACUGUCUAUACAUGUGGAGUGUUUUGAUAUGGACUUGAGACAUCCGUAUAUGUGGAAUGUUUUGAUGCAUGGAUUUGGGAUGGUUAAUCAAGUUCAAGACCAUACUGACUUAUUCUAUCAAAAGAUAUUUAGGGAUCUAGGCUUUAUAAAUUUACUCAAUUCUAAGCAUCUAUUACUCCUGUCACUGGCAGUUAACAGGUUUACAAAUGUUUUGUUUCUAAGUUAUCUUCACCAUUGAUAUCCUUGUGUACCUGCCGCCCAGAUGGUGGGAUUGUAAGCAUAUACCACUCUCGUGCCAAGAUUUUAACUCUCUGUAUAAACCUAAAAGUUAGAGUUAGCUAUUCCCUUUAAUAAGGCAGGCAUUAAUACUAAAUUCAGAAAAUUUGGAAAAAUAUAAUACAACGAAUUUAUCGAAAUUUAGAAGUGGAAUCUAAUCUAAUUUAUUAUCUUAAGUUCACCAAAACAUUCACUCUAAAUAUAUAGAUAGAUAAAGCUUAAAAUGAGUUGUCUCAACUGAUUGAAAGGUCUUUCACAAUAGACUGGCUAAGACAAAUAUUUGUUCUUACAUGCUUUUUUAACACUUAAUAUUGGCAAAUUUAAUGUUUAAAUACUUUAUUUUUUAUGUGCAUGUGUGUUUUGCCUCCGUGUGUGUAUUCAUGUGGGUGUGGUGCCUAACAGAGGCCAGAAGAGCCUCAGAAACCCUGGAAAAGGGGUGGGAGCUGCUUGGGAACUGCCGUGUGGGUGGUAGGAACAAACCCCGGCCUCUACAAGACUGCUGCUCCAGCCCACAAGGUUGUCUUGUACUUGAUUACUUUAAAAGCAUAUGUAAGACUAUAAUUUGUAAUUCAGUUACACAUUUGAGGACAUUCUUAUCUAGAAAUAGUACAGAGAUUCGCCCUUUGGAUACUAAUGUAUUUAUACAUAAUUAUGAAAAAACUAUCGUCGUUGUUGAAGUAGUGUUGAAGUACUCCUUUUCUGAAACUUGUGUCCUUACGUGAUGUUCAGAUCAUUUGUAUGUGAGUACAGUAACUGGUCUGUGUUGCGGCUGUAUUUUAUGUAUUUCACAGAGUUUGUUGACUCGGAACAAAUGGAAGACAACAAAAUAAAAGUUUAUAGUACCUGUAAACCAUCUUGAAGUUAAUCACACCUGAAAUGGAGAAUACGAUUAACAAGAAAAGUUGUAGUUUAUACUUAUCCUUUUUGGGGGGAAUCAUAAAAGUGCCUCAUCUCAGGUGUAAAUGGUCUCAUCCUAUUCGACUACUUGAAAAACCAAGUAAAAGUGGUUUCACAUUUGCAAAGGAUCAGACAUGAGAUUUCCUGUUGUUCAUAUGAUUCCUGUUACUUUUUUGCAACUUACAGACAUUCCAUCAUUCAAGUUGUAAAUAGUGAAGAAUGCUAGUAGGAAACUUACAUGUGUCACAAACAAAUACGCAUAAUUGAGAUAUAAAACCAAGCUAAAAUGCUGUUUUCUGUUAAGCUAGUUAAUAUAAAUAUAUAUUUAAAUAUAAAUAAGUAUAUUUACAUGUAAGUUUUUCUCAAAAGAACAUGAGGAAUGUGUAGCCUUAGCUCUUUUAUCAUUAGCCAUCCAUUAAUGUUUUCUAGAAAACUAAUAUUUAUUACCAAAAAUCUGCAUGCAUCGUUUUUCAAGUCAGGCUGCCUAGUUGAGACAUACAAUGAAAUGCUCUGUCAGCAGAAACAAAGUAUUGCCAAAGUAUUGCUUUUCAGAGAAAGCCUAACAAUAAGACCAGCCCUUGUUACUCCACUCAAGAGUUCCCGUUGGUCUUUAUACUUUGACUAUCUGCUGUCAAGUACCAAAUAGGACCCUCUCGGCAUACGAAUGUAUUGGAUGGAGUUAGUCACCUAGCCUUCUGCCAACCGUGUUUCUUUAAAUGAUUAAAGAUGUGUAAGAUUUUUUUUGUACUGUUAAUAGUUUUUGCUAUUAGUGUAUAUUUAAUACCAGCAUUUGUUUUAUGGAUGUUGUUAGUAUCAGAUUGAGAGCAUUGACAUCACAAUGUCAGCAACGAGAUACAGUCUGUACAUGACAAAGAGUUACAUCCUUGUCAGAUCUUAACGAUAUGAACAAGACCUGUACAAUGACACCGUCAGCUGACUUGCCAAAAUGGAUGUCGUACAAGGCCAGAUCUCUACAUGAAAAGCUACUAAGAACCAGUCUUACCCGGGGAAAGGUCUCUUGGUAAGUUAUCCAAUCCCAAGUGGCCAGCCCUAAAUACAAACGAGCAAUCCCAAAUGUACUUGCAGGUUAUAUUCACGUACAUGCAUAUGUGGACAUGUCUGCUAUUGCUGUGAAUACCCCUGACCAAGGCGUGCUUCAGAAGAACUCAUUGACCCUGACUCAGAGGGUGAGUCUGAGCGUUGUGUUGGGGAGCAUGGCAGGAGGCAAGCGGGCAUGGUACUGGGAGGGUAGCUGAAUUCCUGCGUACAGUCUGAUCCAGAACUAUGAGGCAAGGAGAGCCAACUGGGAAUGGUGUGGGCCUUUGAAAUCACAGCAGAAAAAGGAGGGAUUAUGUUACAAUUACAUUUAAAAAUAUAAGGUGACUGAUACGUAGCUUAUUUGAAUCAAUACCAAUACCCUUGGUUUCUUUUUUUAUUACACCAAAGACAAUUUUUGUCUACAAUUUCUUAAGUGUUGUUUAUAUAUGAAAAUUUCAAUGUCUCAUUUGUCUACUCACCUCACUUGAUUAUCAUGUUUGAGAAAUAUUGAUACAGGAGAAAUUGGAAUUUACUCCUAAAGUUUUUAGUCUCAUUAAUAAAGUGCAUUUUAAUAUA
rnacentral:lncRNA from 1 species